ensembl:snRNA U6 U6 spliceosomal RNA
GUGCUCGCAGCACAUAUUACUAAAAUUGGAACGAUAUAGAGAUUAGUAUGGCCCCAGCGCAAGGAUGACAUGCAGAUUCAUGAAGAGUUCAUGGUUUGU